rnacentral:tRNA from 1 species
GCGCCCAUAGCUCAGCCGGAUAGAGCAUCGGACUUCUAAUCCGACGGUCGGGGGUUCGAAUCCCUCUGGGCGCG